CCUACGGGAGGCUGCAGUGAGGAAUAUUGGUCAAUGGGCGCGAGCCUGAACCAGCCAAGUAGCGUGAAGGAUGAAUGCCCUACGGGUUGUAAACUUCUUUUAUAAAGGAAUACAGUGAGGCACGUGUGCCUUUUUGUAUGUACUUUAUGAAUAAGGAUCGGCUAACUCCGUGCCAGCAGCCGCGGUAAUACGGUGGAUCCGUGCGUUAUACGGAUUUAUUGGGUUUAAAGGGAGCGUAGAUGGGUUGUUAAGUCAGUUGUUAAAGUUUGCGGCUCAAACGUAAAAUUGCAAUGGAUACUAGCAGUCUUGAGUACAGUUGAGGUAGGCGGAAUUCGUGGUGUAGCGGUGAAAUGCUGAGAUAUCACGAAGAACUCCGAUUGCGAAGGCAGCUUACUAAGCUGCCACUGACAUUGAGGCUCGAAAGUGUGGGUAGCAAACAGGAUUAGAUACCCUUGUAGUC
rnacentral:rRNA from 1 species